GACGAACGCUGGCGGCGUGCUUAACACAUGCAAGUCGAACGGAAAGGCCCUGCUUUUGUGGGGUGCUCGAGUGGCGAACGGGUGAGUAACACGUGAGUAACCUGCCCUUGACUUUGGGGUAACUUCAGGAAACUGGGGCUAAUACCGGAUAGGAGCUCCUGCUGCAUGGUGGGGGUUGGAAAGUUUCGGCGGUUGGGGCUGGACUCGCGGCUUAUCAGCUUGUUUGUGGGGUAGUGGCUUACCAAGGCUUUGAAGGGUAGCCGGCCUGAGAGGGUGACCGGCCACAUUGGGACUGAGAUACGGCCCAGACGCCUACGGGAGGCAGCAGUGGGGAAUAUUGCACAAUGGGCGGAAGCCUGAUGCAGCAACGCCGCGUGCGGGAUGACGGCCUUCGGGUUGUAAACCGCUUUCGCCUGUGACGAAGCGUGAGUGACGGUAAUGGGUAAAGAAGCACCGGCUAACUACGUG
rnacentral:rRNA from 1 species